GAUUAAGUUAUUAAGGGCGCACGGUGGAUGCCUUGGCACUAGAAGCCGAUGAAGGACGUUACUAACGACGAUAUGCUUUGGGGAGCUGUAAGUAAGCUUUGAUCCAGAGAUUUCCGAAUGGGGAAACCCAGCAUGAGUUAUGUCAUGUUAUCGAUAUGUGAAUACAUAGCAUAUCAGAAGGCACACCCGGAGAACUGAAACAUCUUAGUACCCGGAGGAAGAGAAAGAAAAUUCGAUUCCCUUAGUAGCGGCGAGCGAAACGGGAAGAGCCCAAACCAACAAGCUUGCUUGUUGGGGUUGUAGGACACUCUAUACGGAGUUACAAAGGACGACAUUAGACGAAUCAUCUGGAAAGAUGAAUCAAAGAAGGUAAUAAUCCUGUAGUCGAAAAUGUUGUCUCUCUUGAGUGGAUCCUGAGUACGACGGAGCACGUGAAAUUCCGUCGGAAUCUGGGAGGACCAUCUCCUAAGGCUAAAUACUCUCUAGUGACCGAUAGUGAACCAGUACCGUGAGGGAAAGGUGAAAAGCACCCCGGAAGGGGAGUGAAAUAGAACCUGAAACCGUGUGCUUACAAGUAGUCAGAGCCCGUUAAUGGGUGAUGGCGUGCCUUUUGUAGAAUGAACCGGCGAGUUACGAUUUGAUGCAAGGUUAAGCAGUAAAUGUGGAGCCGUAGCGAAAGCGAGUCUGAAUAGGGCGUUUAGUAUUUGGUCGUAGACCCGAAACCAGGUGAUCUACCCUUGGUCAGGUUGAAGUUCAGGUAACACUGAAUGGAGGACCGAACCGACUUACGUUGAAAAGUGAGCGGAUGAACUGAGGGUAGCGGAGAAAUUCCAAUCGAACCUGGAGAUAGCUGGUUCUCUCCGAAAUAGCUUUAGGGCUAGCCUCAAGUGAUGAUUAUUGGAGGUAGAGCACUGUUUGGACGAGGGGCCCCUCUCGGGUUACCGAAUUCAGACAAACUCCGAAUGCCAAUUAAUUUAACUUGGGAGUCAGAACAUGGGUGAUAAGGUCCGUGUUCGAAAGGGAAACAGCCCAGACCACCAGCUAAGGUCCCAAAAUAUAUGUUAAGUGGAAAAGGAUGUGGCGUUGCCCAGACAACUAGGAUGUUGGCUUAGAAGCAGCCAUCAUUUAAAGAGUGCGUAAUAGCUCACUAGUCGAGUGACACUGCGCCGAAAAUGUACCGGGGCUAAACAUAUUACCGAAGCUGUGGAUUGUCCUUUGGACAAUGGUAGGAGAGCGUUCUAAGGGCGUUGAAGCAUGAUCGUAAGGACAUGUGGAGCGCUUAGAAGUGAGAAUGCCGGUGUGAGUAGCGAAAGACGGGUGAGAAUCCCGUCCACCGAUUGACUAAGGUUUCCAGAGGAAGGCUCGUCCGCUCUGGGUUAGUCGGGUCCUAAGCUGAGGCCGACAGGCGUAGGCGAUGGAUAACAGGUUGAUAUUCCUGUACCACCUAUAAUCGUUUUAAUCGAUGGGGGGACGCAGUAGGAUAGGCGAAGCGUGCGA
rnacentral:rRNA from 1 species